ACGUGAUUAACGCCAUCGCCUUAUAGCCAAUUAGGCUGCUCUCGACAGUUUAGUGUUUUAUAACAAGAAGAGCCCAAAACUUCGGAAAAAAUUAAAAACGGCAUUUCGAGCAUCAGUGGAAUCAGUAACCACACGACUACUUGACGCCGCCUGCGAACCGGAGGGCGAGGCGUCAAGGCCCAAGAGCUGGGUUGGAGCACAAGGGAACUUCUGCUGGGGCCAUCCAAAGUUGCAGAUUGCAGGACACCAGGUCUGAGGGGUUUGGUGGCCAUUUUGGAAAUAGUCACCAUGGCCAGAAGGUGCUAUUCUUGUUAGCCAGGCCUGAUUCCCAUGUCUAUCCAGGGGGUAGAGUCUACACCCUUUGAAAGACUUGUCUGAAGACGCACAUGAGGACCAGACGAACGGAAAGUGGAUGGCACCCAUCUGAACAAGAAAUAGCCGCUGUGGCCUGAAGCACAAGUUUCCCUUUACCCCCAUUUUCUUAGUAAAUUAUCCCCAUUCUCUGC